GUGAGUGUCGCCUAGUGGUCUAAGGCGCCAGGUUGUGGCCCUGGAGAGCGAGGGUUCAAAUCCCUCCACUCACCCCA
rnacentral:tRNA from 1 species